UGGGGAAUAUUGCACAAUGGGCGAAAGCCUGAUGCAGCAACGCCGCGUGAGUGAUGAAGGCCUUCGGGUUGUAAAGCUCUGUCUUUUGGGACGAUAAUGACGGUACCAAAGGAGGAAGCCACGGCUAACUACGUGCCAGCAGCCGCGGUAAUACGUAGGUGGCAAGCGUUGUCCGGAUUUACUGGGCGUAAAGGAUGCGUAGGCGGAUUUUUAAGUGAGAUGUGAAAUACCCGGGCUUAACUUGGGUGCUGCAUUUCAAACUGGGAAUCUAGAGUGCGGGAGAGGAGAAUGGAAUUCCUAGUGUAGCGGUGAAAUGCGUAGAGAUUAGGAAGAACACCAGUGGCGAAGGCGAUUCUCUGGACCGUAACUGACGCUGAGGCAUGAAAGCGUGGGUAGCAAACAGGAUUAGAUACCCUGGUAGUCCACGCCGUAAACGAUGAGUACUAGGUGUAGGAGGUAUCGACCCCUUCUGUGCCGCAGUUAACACAAUCAAGUACUCCGCCUGGGAAGUACGAUCGCAAGAUUAAAACUCAAAGGAAUUGAC
rnacentral:rRNA from 1 species